CAGUAGCCGCGGUAAUACGUAGGGUGCAAGCGUUAAUCGGAGUUACUGGGCGUAAAGCGUGCGCAGGCGGUUCUAUAAGACAGAUGUGAAAUCCCCGGGCUCAACCUGGGAACUGCAUUUGUGACUGUAGAGCUGGAGUGCGGCAGAGGGGGAUGGAAUUCCGCGUGUAGCAGUGAAAUGCGUAGAUAUGCGGAGGAACACCAGUGGCGAAGGCGACUCUCUGGUCUGUAACUGACGCUGAGGAGCGAAAGCGUGGGGAGCGAGCAGGAUUAGAUACCCCAGUAGUCCCUGUCUCUUAUAA
rnacentral:rRNA from 1 species